rnacentral:misc_RNA from 1 species
UCUCCGUAGGUGAACCUGCGGAGGGAUCAUUACAGAGCAUCAUGCCCUUCGGGGUAGAUCUCCCACCCUAUGUAUUACAUACCUUUUGUUGCUUUGGCAGGCCGUCAGGCUUCGGCUUGACUAUCGGCUCCGGCUGGUAAGCGCCUGCCAGAGGAAAUUCAACUCUGAAUUUAAGUGUUGUCUGAGUAAAAACAUAAUAUUUAAAACUUUCAACAACGGAUCUCUUGGCUCUGGCAUCGAUGAAGAACGCAGC